GCUAAAGCAAUUGUAGCAGCUCCGGCACCUAUUGAUUUAGCUCCUUCUAACAUGUCGAGUCGCGACAUGACAUUGUUUCACGCGUUUCCUUCGCUACUAGAAAUUUCUAGUCUAGUCUAGUUCUAGUUUCUAGUAUAGUAUUGUAUUUCCCGUUGAUGAAAUUUCGAGUAUAGUAUUUCUCGUUGAUUUGAUUCCUGCGCUGCGAUCCAUGGUUGAAUAAUAAGACACAAACUAGAUACGGAAUCGCUACGUUUCUUUC
rnacentral:lncRNA from 1 species